UACGAAGGGUGCAAGCGUUACUCGGAAUUACUGGGCGUAAAGCGUGCGUAGGUGGUUUGUUAAGUCUGUUGUGAAAGCCCCGGGCUCAACCUGGGAAUGGCAAUGGAUACUGGCAAGCUAGAGUGCGGUAGAGGGUAGUGGAAUUCCCGGUGUAGCGGUGAAAUGCGAAGAGAUCGGGAGGAACACCAGUGGCGAAGGCGGCUACCUGGACCAGCACUGACACUGAGGCACGAAAGCGUGGGGAGCAAACAGG
rnacentral:rRNA from 1 species